GUGGUGUCGGCGGCGAGGAUGGGAGAAAGGUCUCGUCAUUUUGGAUCUCGUUUCUCUGUUAUUUUUGAGGACAUGCCAAAGGUGUAAGGUUUGGGAGUAUGUUUGGGCGUUAAUCAGAUCAGGAGUUUAAUAGAUCACCGCUUAAGAAUCGGGUUUUGAAGCCUUGCACGCAUACUGGGUCUCGGUCUUGUAGGUGUGCGACCGUUUGUCAACGCACCUGGUCUGGUGGGCCGGGUUUAGGGCGUGACAAAUGCCAUACGUCUUCCUAUAACUAUCAUAAACUAAAAUAAUCAACCCUUGCAUGCACGAAUAAUAAAUGGCGCACGUGGUAUAUACAUACGUCAUACGUACAUUGCAUGCAUUGUGAUCUCUGUAAAUGAUUACUGUUACUCAUGAUUUUAGCAUUGAAGUUUAAUAAAGUUA